rnacentral:rRNA from 1 species
UGGGGAAUAUUGCACAAUGGGCGCAAGCCUGAUGCAGCCAUGCCGCGUGUGUGAAGAAGGCCUUCGGGUUGUAAAGCACUUUCAGCGGGGAGGAAGGCGGUGAGGUUAAUAACCUCACCGAUUGACGUUACCCGCAGAAGAAGCACCGGCUAACUCCGUGCCAGCAGCCGCGGUAAUACGGAGGGUGCAAGCGUUAAUCGGAAUUACUGGGCGUAAAGCGCACGCAGGCGGUCUGUCAAGUCGGAUGUGAAAUCCCCGGGCUCAACCUGGGAACUGCAUUCGAAACUGGCAGGCUAGAGUCUUGUAGAGGGGGGAAGAAUUCCAGGUGUAGCGGUGAAAUGCGUAGAGAUCUGGAGGAAUACCGGUGGCGAAGGCGGCCCCCUGGACAAAGACUGACGCUCAGGUGCGAAAGCGUGGGGAGCAAACAGG